CGUGUGGGCUCGUGGAAGCUGCCUUUGGAAAAGAACCGCUCUAUAAGUUAGAUUUCUAUAGCUGUGAUGAGACCCCGACAAAAAUCAAGUUGAGGAGGAAAGGAUUUCUUUGGCUGACAUAUCCCAAGUCACAGUUCUUUAAGGAACUCAGGGCAGGAACCUGGAGGCAGGAAUUGAAGCAGAGGCCAUGUAGCAACACUGCUGGCUGGCCUAUUUGAUUGACUUUCUUAUAUACCCCAGGACCUCUUGCACAGGGGCAAUACUGUCUACCCUUCCAUGUCAAUCAUCAAUCAAGAAAACAGCCUACAGGUCAAUCUGAUAGGGACAUUUUCUGAAUGUUCCCUCUUCUCGGGUAACUCUAACUUUGGUCAAAUUAACCAAACAGAAACAAACAAACAACAAUAACAACAAUAAAAAUAAGAACAGUAACAACAAAACAGAAACAGAAAAAAAAGCACACCAGUGCUUACUCCCUCAUCUUUACUGGUCUUUAAUGCCAUCUGUUCCCCCUCUUGCAGGUAACUGAGUUUCUACUUUGUGAAAAAGAUUGUUAGACCCAGUCGAGGUAUGGGCCUGAAUGAAGGUUCCCCAAUUGGAAGAGUCACAGAUAACCCAGAGCCUUCCUCUAGCUUCUGAGAGGGAGUCUUCUCUUCCGAGUGAACUUGGGGUCCAACUUCAAGCUUUGUCUACUUCUCAAAUGCCCAUAAUUUCUGAGAAUAAAGUCUUUGCUCUUACAGUGCUCACAGCCUUGGUGGAAUGAUAAAGCUAGCCAAACAGUCAAACACAUAUAACACAGCCCAGAAAUGUGCUACCGUGUCAGGUUUCGUUGUAUAAACAAAUUAUAAGGCCUAGUGGCUUCCACAACUCCACUAGUCAGUUUAGGAUUCUGUAAACGACACAGAUGGUUCUUCUUUGGUUCUGUUCAGCUAGGUUCUUUCCUGCCUUUCCAGGUGGCGAGUCUGUUACUAGCAGUAUAAUUUCACUAAAUGCUAUGGUGCUGAGCAAAUAAGUUCUGCAAUUGGGAGGUAGGGAGCCAGAUGUGUCCAACCCCACCCCCUAAAAGCUCAUCUUAAGACCAGUAGGAGUAAGAAUUGCUCCCUCCUUGUUCUGGGCCUGCAUGCCAUGGUAGUGCAUGUAUCCUUGUGACCCACACCUCUACCACCAUUGAGGUAGUCACAUAGCCUGGUGGCUACAUUACAGGCUUAAGCACCUGGAAUUCCUCUUCAUGCAGAUGAAGCAUUCCCAGUACCUCAGUACCAACCAAUAAUGUACACUCACCCUGAAAAAUACCUACCCACUACCCAAGGUUUAUAUAGCCCUUAUUUUCCUCAAAUAAAGAGAGCUGUAACUCUGGAAAAACGUCCAGCCAACAGAGUUCCUGCAGACCCAGGACCCACCCUGUCUGGUGAUUCUUCAUUUUUUCCAAUCCAGCCUAGUGCAAAACAGUGCCUGAGUACCCUGAAGGCUGAAGCAGAACUGGCCAAUUUGAAUAUGGUUUGAGUGUUCUCAAAGAGUACAUGACGCAGAGGCUUGGUUUGCUCUUUAAUGUAUGGUGAGAGGUGUGGACAUUUAGAGAGCAGCCUAAAAGCCAUGGAGACUACCGCUCUUGGAAGGGAUUAAGGUGUGUGUGGUUGUUUGUUUGUUUGUUUGUUUGUUUUUUUGAGUCUCUUAUUAUUAGUUUCUGGAAAGGUUAUAGACCAGAGUCUUACCCCACCUGGAUGUGACUUUUUCCAUCUAUACCUGUUGCUACCAUCAUGACCAAAUCCACUAUAUGAAGUCUAUCAGAGCAGAGCUACUAGCCAGAAUUGUGAACCAAAUCAACAUGUAUUUGUAUACACUUGUCAGCCUGAAGUAUUUUUGAAAGAUUUAUUUAUUUAUUUAUUUAUUUAUUUAUUUAUUAUGUUUAUGUGAAUGCCUCUUGAGUUUAUAUGCACCUUGUGUGCACAGGAAGGCCAGAGAAAGGUUUCCCUGGAACUGGAGUUGCAGGCUGUUGUGAGCCACCAUGUCGGUUCUGGGAAUGAAACGAACAUCUGCACGAGCAAUAAGCCCUCAUAACUUCUGAUCCACUGCUUCAGCCCACUAGCCACAGGUAUUUUAUGAUGAUAAUAUAAAGUAGACAGAUACAGGUGGCCUAACAUGCCAUGCAUGCAGCAGGGAACCUGUCAGCUGAGGCAACAUGCCUUUUAUUUUCCACCAGGUCAGCCUGGAUUCUUCAGAUAGCUUCUUUCUAAACUGGCCAGCAAGACAUGGCAAGUCCCAUUGUACACAUGCUUUUAAAGUGUCUGCCUAAUUAUCAUGGAUUCCUAGGUACUAUUGGUUGAUACAAGUUACAUGGUCCACAUUAAAAUUGCACACUAAUUAUCACGGGCCCAGGGAGUGGUUGCUUCUGUUUGUUAUUCCAUGUAUCAGUUGGACCUUCAUGGCACCAAGAGAACAUGUGCUUACAACAGAGCUUCGGUUUGACCUCACUGAAGAAGUUCAGUGAAGAGGAAGCAUUUCAACUAAGACCAGAAGAAUGAGAAGGGGUUAACUAGAAGAAAGGGGGAUUAAAAUUAGGCCAAUGAGAGGGACAGCAUAGGCAAAUUGUCUCCUUCUUUCCCAAGACAGCUCUUUUCUCCCUCUAAAAUUGCAUAUCUUGUAUCUGUAUGGAUGUGACUCCUGUCAAUAAUAAAUUUGAUGGCCAAUGGCCUAGGCAGGAAAUAGGAGGUGGGACAUCAGGGAGGCAGAAAGGACUCUGGGAGAGUGCCAGGUAGGAGGUUUGCUAGGGAAGAUGUGAUUAGAUGAAUGCAUGGUACCUAAGCAUAGGAAGCCAGCCAGAUUUACUAUGUUAGAUGAGCUGAAGUCAUCAAUGAAUACAUGAAUGAGUGAAAACCCCAUGGCUGAGAGUUUUCUUGUGUGUGAGGAAGUAGGAGUGGAGGUGGUUGUGGAAUUUGAUGAGGGGAUGGGUAGGAGAGGUCCUGCAGAACAUUUUGGCUAAUACUAAUGAAUUUUGACUUUGGUCCUUGUAUGAGUCAUGGUUCUCCCGAGGAAAAGAACCAACAGGUUGUGUAUGUGUAUAGUACAAUAUAUAAAUUCAUUAUAAGGAAAUGAUCCAAGUGAUUAUAAGGGCCAAGUGACCUCAAGAUCUGCAGCUUAGAGGCAACACGGGAUAACCAGCAUGGAACAACAGUUCAAGUGUAAGAGCUAGAAAAGCUGAUGCUGCGAAUAUCUCUAUGGAAGCUAGAGGUCUAAUCCUCAAAAGUGUGUUUCAGUCCUAGUCUGAGUGUCAGCUCACACCAGAUGGCAGGCUCUAACCUAUUCAGAUCUCUGAUUAGUGGAAGAGGGUUUAUUUUAGUUAGAGUUUUACUUCUGUGAAGAGACACCAUGACUAAGGCAACUCUUAUAAGGACACUAUUUAAUUGGGGUUGUCUUUGAGGUUCAGUCCAUUAUCAAGGUGGGAGUAUGGCAGUGUCCAGGCUGGCAUAACACUGGAGGAGUUCUACAUCUUCAUCUGAAAGCCACUGGGAGAAGACUGGCUCCUAGGUGCUUAGGAGGAGGGUCUCAUUGCCUACCCACACGGUGAUAUACUUCCUCCAACAAGGCCACACCCACUCCAACUAGGUCACACUUCCUAAAAGUGACACUCCCAGGGCCAAGCAUAUUCAAACCACCACAGUUCACUCCCUGGCCCCCAUAGGCUUGUUCAAACACAUGUGUCUAUGGGGGCCAUACCUAGCCAUAGCAUAUUAAAAAAUAAGUUUUGUCCAAUUUUCAACGUCUCUAUAGUCUAUAGCAGUCUCAACAAUGUUAAAAGUUCAAAGUUCAAUGUCUCUUCUGAGAUUUGUCCAAUCACUUAACUUUAACCCCCAAAGCAAGACAGGAAAUCAUCUGGGCAAACUCUGAACUCUGCAUCUCCACGUCUGAUGUCAAAGCAGUCUUCAGAUCUCCAGCUCCUUUUCCAUCUUUGUUGACUGCAACAAACUUCUUUCUCCUGGGCUGGUUCUACUCCCUAUUAGCAGCUUUCCUUGGCAGGUAUUCCAUGGUUCUGGCAUCCUUAACAUCUUGGGGUCUCCAAAUCAACCUCAGUUUCACAACUUCCUGUUCUAAUAUCUAGGAUCCAUAUAUGUUCUUCUGGGCUUCUCCAAAGGGCUUUCAUCACUUCUCCAGCUCUGCCCUCUGUAGCACUCUAGGCUGUAGUUGACUCUACUCCACUGCUGCUGAUGUUCUUGGUGGUCAUCCCAUGUUACUGGCUUCUCUAAUAUGCCGGAGUCUUUUGACUGCCAAUAGACUUCAUCAAUAGCCUCUCUUCAUGGUGCCAAACCUCAAGUUCUUUGCAUGACCCCUUCUGACCUGGGCCAUCAACUACAACUGCGGCUGCACUUUUAUCAAUGGCCUUCCAUGCCCUCUCACAGUCCCAAGCCUCAGCUGCUCAUGUCCAUACAUUUCAUAUUUUUCCUUUCUCAGCUUGCUACACUUGUUCAAACACUUUUCAUAAGACUUAAUCAGAAAACAAAGUCUGUUGAGGUUUUUUGAGACUUUCUUUGUCAAUGCAAUUAAUAUAAAUCUCUUUAACUUAGCCACAGGUAGACUUUUUAGACCAGGGCAAAAAAGCAGCCACAUUCUUCAACAAAAUAUCACAAGAACAGUCUCUCAGCCACAUAUUAAAAUUCUUCUCCUCUGAAACCUCUAGAGUCAGCUCCCACCCCUUCCCUUCCCUUCCCUCUUCUUCCCUUCCCUCCCCUCCCCUCCCCUCCCCUCCCUUCCCCUCCCCUCUACUCCCCUUUUCUUUCCUAUCCUAUUCUACCUUACCUCAGUUGAGAAAAUAUCUCCACCAAACUAGCCUGUAGGCAAGUCUUUAGGACAUUUUCUCCAUUCUUGAUCAAUGUGGGAAAGACCAGCCCAAUGUCAGCCGUGUCAUCCCUGGACAUGGUGACCCUGGAUCGUAUAAGAAAUUAGGGUGAGGGAGUCAUGGGGAGCAAGCCAGUGAGCAGUGCCCUCCAUGAGUUCUGUUUCAGUUCCUGCCUUGGUUUCCUGCUCUGACUUCCCGACAUUGGUAGAUGAUAACCUUAAGCCAAAGGAACCUUUUCCUCUGAAAAUUGCUUUUCAUAAUGGUGUUCAUCACAGCAAAAGAAACGGAAGUAAGAUGCAAGGACAUCACCCUAUACCUCUCUCAAGAUUCCUGUUCUACAAAGUUCUUAACACAUGUAAACAUUUCAAUUCUGUUCUCUAUUUGGAGGAAAGAGGGUGUUUGUUUUAGGGUAAAUCCAUCAUUGAACAUAGCAGUCCUGACUGAGAAUUACUGUCUUGGGUUACAAGUAGUAUAGGUUUUGCCUUUGCCAGUACAACUACACGAUGCCUGCGUGUUUUAAAGUCAGCAUAACAUUAUUUUUAAAAACAUUUAAUGAGUCUCAGUUUGUUUAGUAUGGCUGAAGAGGGGCCUGAUGGAGACAUGCUUAAUUAACUUAUACUCUUAUAAUUAAGUAUUAGAUAUGGAGAAAAAGUCAUGUUCCAUAUGCUAGACUUGCCAUGGGUCAUUAAAGAAUACUUCCCAAUCCUCUGUUUUGGAAUUUAGAGGUUAUAACACACUGUAAGUUAGAAUUAUUAUAAUUUUAAAAAUGUUAUUAUUUUGCUAAUCUAAGCUUUUUCUCUCACUUCCCUUGUCCCACUUAAUGAGUGAGCCAAUAAUGUCAGGAGUACAGGAGUAUCUUGUUUAACAUGCACAAGACCCUGGGGUCAUCCCAGCUCUUAGUUUCCCCUCACCAAAGAAAAACAAAUAAACACAAAUACUUAAUAAAAAUUGUAGUAUAUUUUAUUUAGUUACUAAUAGUGGGUUAAUACCUAAAAAUUAUAACCUUUAAAAGAACUGGUCCUUAAUUUUUUUUUUAAUUAGACAAAGAAAAGAGGACGUUUUACCUAUAAGUCUUCCUUAAAGGAAAGUAGGUUAAACAAAUUUCUUUAAUGUCAAUGUAUAAAAGUAGACAUUUUCUCUAACAGAAGACACACACACACACACACACAUUGUAUGUAUUAGUAAAUUCAUGACUUUUGGGUUUAUUUUAUGACUGGCCUAUCCAGUUUCACCAGGACCAUGUUGUGUGGCUGUUGUUUUGGACUAUCCAUUAAAGCAAGGCGGAGUCACCAGUGGGCAUACACCUAAAGGGAGUGCUUCCCUCCUCCCUCAGAAUGUAUCAGUAGCACAUAGUUCUGCAGAAGAGUCGGCUCUUCAGAGCCUCUUCUCCAUCCAUGCCUGAUUAUGGACAGGUCCAUUCUUGGUGUAGGCAGCUGUGCUGCUGUGACUGCAAUCUCUGUAUCUUGCAUAGGUGCUGGCAUUUUGCAGCCCAUCCCCCUAUUAUCUAGUUCUUAUAUACUUUGUCCCCCAUCCUUCAGCAAUGUUCUCUGAGUUUUAGAGGGGACAGUAUAAAUGUCUUGAUGAGAACUAAUGACUCAUUUGCCACUUAUUCUCAGAACCUUGUGCAGCAAUUUGUCUCUACUCAUCAGCAUGAAAUGCUUUUGUGAAAUGCUAAAAUGCUUUUCUGGUUAGGCUGUGUGUAACAUUUGUCUAUGGGUGUUAACAUUAAUAUAUAGAAUGAAAUACUAUGUAAAUUUAGCUAAACCAUACUCAAUUUCUGUCUAGACCUAUGACCUCCUGUACGAUACAUUUAUAGUACUAGGUGUUAGUGUCAGGACCUCUGAAACAUGUGACAUCACAUAGACAACAGUGCGACCUACACACCUGUUGCUAAGACAACGGCCACCAUAUUCCCAUUAUCCAUUGGGCUCUCCAUCCACCUUUACCUAUGACCACAUCACCAUUCAUGUAUAUAAGAGGAAUGCCCCUCUCUCUCCCUCUCUCUCUUUCUACAUUCUACACAUCAUUUGAUGCCUAAACCGGGAAAAUCAGCGGUAGCACCAACAGCUGCUGCGGAGCAUCACAGCGGGAACCAGCAGAGGUGGUGGAAUCACAGCCAUGUGCAGAGUGUGCUGCUACCAGCGACCGUAGCCUGCAACCGUGGCUGCUGUGAGUAUGUUGGCUCUCCACUGCCACUCAGCUACAACCACCGCCAGUGGAGCAGGCCAGAACUCUCACUGCCCGAUGGAACUUCUGCCCGGCCCGCUGUGUAUGCCAUCUGGGAGCAGAGGAACUGGCAGCAUCCCAGCCCCUCAGCUGGUUGCUAGAGAAAUCACAGACUUCCAUCACAGUGAGCUCCUGCUGCUGCUACUGACACAGUGGGACAUACAACUUCUACCACAUGAGCUGUGCUGCCCUGGUCCAUCUUGUGGGGCUUGCUUCUGCCAGACCCACACCUACCCACUCAGUUCUAGGUUUCUAUUUACCAGUUCGCUAUAAUUUUCACACAGACACCAGCAUUUUAAUUGGUAGGGUCGGUCGGCAAGAGGGCCCCUAAUUUCCCAGAUAGGGCCUGGCCAGCUUUUUCUGUGCAGUAAGGGGUUGGCAUUUUAUAGUCACGCCUCCCAGCUGCCAUACGAAUUAGGACAUCGGCCCUUUGAAUGACCAUUCCCUUGAAAGUGUCUCUCCCUCCCCUCCCUCUCCGAGCUCUUGCAGCUGUUUAAGAAACCCCUGGAUCUAGGGUAGAGCCCUUUCUACAGUAAGUCCGGAGCUUACUAUGUAGCCUCUAGGGUGUCCUUGUGACGACUUGGGCCUCUAGCCUGGCUGAUUUGUUUUUGGUUGUUGAAUUAUUCUUGGGAUGCCGGUAUGAAUAACCCAAUAAUCCCCCAAUGGGUGCUGCAAUGUCUUCAAACGUACCUCCAGGCACUCCACUGGGAUGUCUCCUGGAAAAUCUCAAAUCUUUGAAGCUAAUGCCUGACUGGAAGGCAUAAAAAUUCAUAUACCUCUGCAAUAAGUCUGGAUUCAGUACCAGCUAGAUAAUAAUUCCAAAUGGCCACUUAAUGGUACCCUAGAUCCAAUUAUUUUGAGGGAUCUUAAUACAUACUGCCAGCGAGCUGGUAAAUGAAAAGAGGCUCCCUAUGUCAAGGCAUUCAUCUAUCUUCACUCCAAUUCCUCCAUGUGCUCUUUUUGUUCCCCAACCCAACUUCUCUUAUCCAUGAAACCUACAAAACCUCCACCAAAUGAUGUUACAAUGCUAGAUCCAGCUAACGAACCACCUCCUUUCUGCUGCAGGCCUGUUUCCAUGCUGCCGAAAACCCAAACUGCUGCCUCAGUUUCUCCUUCUCACCAGGAUACCCCAGAGCCUGCUACCUCUACUUCUCCAGGCCCCUCCCCUUCUUCUGUGCUAGUUGCAGGUCGCUCCAAAUGCCCUAUAUUGGCAGCUACCUUCAUCCCCCCCAAGGCUACAGCCAACCCCCCCCCCAAGUCCUUCUCCCCUAGGGACACCUGGCCCAACAUUGGUUCUUCCCCUAAGAGAAGUUGCUGGGGUAGAUGGCCUUGUCAGAGUACAUGUUCUUUUCUCGCCAAGUGAACUUUCUUAAAUAGAAAGCAGACUCUAACUCCUGUAACUCCUCCACCUUUAUUAAAGAGUUUUGAUACAUUACUCAAUCUUACAGCUUGACUUUCCAUGAUGUACAUAUGAUACUCACUAAUAACUUACUUCCCAAGGAACGCAGGUAAGGAUGGGAGCAAGUGAGAAUGCCUGCAGAUGAAAUUCAUCAAACAGACAGAGCAUAUCCAGGUGAAUCAGAGACAGUGCUUGACCAGGAUCCUUGAUGGGAUCAUAAUUCUGCAGGCGGUAUUUUAGCCAGAGACACGUUUAUUACAUGUUUUUUGGUGGACCUAAGAAAGGCAGCCUUAAAGCUGGUAAAUUUUGAAAAACUCCAAGAGGUUGUCCAGGACAAACAGGAAAAUUCAUCUCAAUUUUUAGAACACUUCACAAAGGCUUUAUUGCAGCGUACCAAUCUGGACUCCGGAAACCCAGAAGGUAAGCAACGUCUGAUGACCUACUUCUUUUCUCAGAGCUACCCUGACAUAAGAGGUAAACUAAAAAAAGCUAGAGAGGGGACCCCAAACUCCACAGGCAGAAGUUUAAGCACUGGCCUUCAAAGUGUACCAUGGGAGAGAUGAGAAAGCCCUCAAACAAAAAUACUAUAUGCUGGCAAAAGCUGUCCAACCAGCCCCAGCCACUGCCCUGAACUCCUGGUCUUCUAAGACUCAGACACCAUCAAAUACCUGCUACACAUGUGGUCAACAAGGUCACUGGGCAAAAACCUGCCCUAGCUUCCACAAGCCAAGGGGACCAUGCCCUAGGUGCCAUCAAGAGGAACAAUGGGCUGUCGAUUGCCCUCAUGCUACACAGAACAGAGGGACAUCACCCCUAGAUAACCCUCAACCUGAUCUGCUAAGGCUUGGCUAUGGCCAACUGAGGUGGCCUGAGCUCUCCUGAACUGACCAGUGCCAUAACUAGUAGGGAGCCCCGGGUAAAUAUCAUGGCAUGUGGGCAGCUCAUCUCUUUCCUCUUGGACACUGGAGCUACUUACUUGGUCCUAAUGGAGUUUUGGGAAUCCACUUCUUCUCAUCUUCCUGUUGUUGGGGUAAGAGUACAGCCUUACUUUCCUCAGCAGACUCCACCACUUAGUUGUAUUUUUAGGGGGUGUACCUCUCACCCAUUCCUUUUUGGUAGUGCCAACAUGUCCAGUCCCCUUAUUGGAAAGGGAUCUUCUGUCUAGGCUGGGGGCCUCUAUUUCCUUUGCUUCCCCCAUUUGCCUAAACCCAAGCUCACCAGCAGUUCCUCUGCUCCUUCUUCAAGCCAGCCAACCUACUAACACUACCAUGUUAUUUCCUUUACCAGCUUCUCAGAUAGAUGCCUGAGUCUGGGACAUCCAAAACCUUUCUAUUGCUAAACACCAUUCUCCUGUUGUCAUCCAGUUACUGGACUCUACCAGAUACCAAGAAUUUCUAACCAAAGUAUUAAUCAGCUCCUGUUGCAAGAUUACCAGUUGCUGCCCACAGAAGAGCCAUUGUCCACAGAGGAUCCUGAUGCGAAGGUUUACCAAGUAGAUACCAAUGGUGAAAGCCAGCCACACCCCAGAAUGGACAACACCCCUAGACAGCAGGAAGCAGCUUAAGAGACACGCCACCCUCAUUCCCUUUUCACCACCAGCUUUCCCCUCAUUUCUUCCCCUUCUCUUUAUAAUAACAAGAAGGGAGGUAUGUUGGUAUCAGGACCUCUGAAACCUGUGACAUCACAUAGGCAACAAUGUGACCUACACACUUGUUGCCAAGACAAUGGCCACCAUAUUCCCAGCAUCCACUGGACUCACCUCCCACCUUUAUCUUUACCUGUGACCAUGUCACCAUCCAAAUAUAUAAGAGAAAUGCCCCCUCCUCUCUCCCUUCCCCCCUUUCUCUUUCUGCCACAACCUUCCUUGCUCUUCUCUGUCCCAAUAAACUUUUUACACUUGGAA